UCUGUGAUCUUUUUUUCCUGGUUAAAAAAUUUCUACAUGCAUAAUUAUGUUUCAGGGAUAUGGUCCUGCAUAAAUAUGAAUUCUGCUGAGCACAUCAGAGAUAUUAUUUGCAUGCACCCCAUGCAUAUGAGCCCAACAUAUUUGGGAUUGAUCAAGUGUACCUCCAACAUGCACCAGGUUUAUAUAAAAACUUGGUCGGCCAUUUGGUUCUCUGGGCUGCUGAGAUAUUAAGAAAAGUCUGUGUACCUACUUAUGUUUCGUUGAUUUAGUCCCCCAUAAAUAUGAAUUCUGCUGAGCACAUCAGAUAUGUUAUUCGCAUGCGCCCCAUUCAUAUGAGCCCAACGUAUUUGGGAUUGAUCAAGUGGACCUCUAUCUUGCACCGGGUUCAUAUAAAAAGAUCAGCCAUUUGGUUCUCUGGGCUUCUAAGACAUUGAGAAAGGGACAGAAUAAAACCAAUGCUUGAAUUUGUUUGCUGCGUAAUCUCAUGUCGUUGGUUGAACUGUACUUCUGACCUUUCAAAAAGUGUGUUCUAGCUGAAAUAGUUUAUUCUUGAAUCUCCUUGGUGACAAUAAGAACUUCAUUUUGCUUGUCAGCUUUGCUGAAAUAAUUUGAUGUUCUUCUCUGGUUUAAUGUGAAGAUGGACAUCUUUAGUGAAGGUUGAACUAGAAACAAAAGACAUUACUGCCUCUUGUGAAAGUUCUAUCAAGGCAGGGGCCUGGGCUCGCAUCAAAGAUUGAACUAGAAAUUAUCGAUUCUUUUGUGGAGCAGCGACUUGACGGCGAUUAGUGAAGGACCUUGCGAGAGGUGAAUGGAAACUUAAGAGUUUUCAGUUGAUUUUGCAUAUAACUUGUUGGAACUGCAGCCAGAAAUUUUGACUAUGUGGGAUAAAGAAAUGGUUUGCAAAGUGGUAAAAGGCCCAUCUUUUAAAAGAGGUUUCUUGGAGAAUUCCGUUGCCGAUGCUUGCAACGCGGUCGUCUAGUUCUGAUGUGAGUUGUUAUCCAGCUUUGGCGUUUGCAUCGAUAGAAAAAGCUAGUCUGGAGAAAUUCCGCUGUUGUGAACCGAAUUCACUGCUUUCUUUAUAGAUGGUCAGGAUGGACUGCAAUCUCUCCGUUCGCGUUAAACUGCCUUUACUGGGUGAAGAACUCUUUGCAUGGACAUUCCAGGAUAAGUGAGGCGAGGCAAGGCAAGGCAAGGCAGGGGACAAUAUGUGUUUUCUCUUCAUUGAUUUCAUUAGAAGUAGGGGACCAAUCCUGUUAUGGAAUAUGAACCCAAUUUUUAUGGGUAAUUCCCGUGUUGUCAGGGGGGCUAAAAGCAGGUCAAAUUUGUGGCUUGGUUUUGCUGAUUGUAGCCAAUAUGCGUCACAGGUUACUACGGAACUUGCUGCUUUUGUAUAGAAGGUUGCUAAAUACAGAUAGACCUUGAGCUGCUUGAUCAGAAUAUAAAAUAUACUGACCAUCAUAGGGUGAAUAUUAAUUAUUAUAUAAUGCGGGUCGUUUUAUU